rnacentral:rRNA from 1 species
AUUGAACGCUGGCGGCAGGCCUAACACAUGCAAGUCGAACGGUAGCACAGAGAGCUUGCUCUCGGGUGACGAGUGGCGGACGGGUGAGUAACGUCUGGGAAACUGCCCGAUGGAGGGGGAUAACUACUGGAAACGGUAGCUAAUACCGCAUAACGUCGCAAGACCAAAGUGGGGGACCUUCGGGCCUCACACCAUCGGAUGUGCCCAGAUGGGAUUAGCUAGUAGGUGGGGUAAUGGCUCACCUAGGCGACGAUCCCUAGCUGGUCUGAGAGGAUGACCAGCCACACUGGAACUGAGACACGGUCCAGACUCCUACGGGAGGCAGCAGUGGGGAAUAUUGCACAAUGGGCGCAAGCCUGAUGCAGCCAUGCCGCGUGUAUGAAGAAGGCCUUCGGGUUGUAAAGUACUUUCAGCGGGGAGGAAGGUGCUGAGGUUAAUAAGCUCAGCAAUUGACGUUACCCGCAGAAGAAGCACCGGCUAACUCCGUGCCAGCCGCCGCGGUAA